rnacentral:rRNA from 1 species
GUGGGGAAUCUUCCGCAAUGGACGAAAGUCUGACGGAGCGACGCCGCGUGAGUGAAGAAGGCCUUCGGGUCGUAAAGCUCUGUCAUCAGGGACGAACGGCCGGUGGAGUGGAAAGCCACCGGAUUGACGGUACCUGAGAAGGAAGCCACGGCUAACUACGUGCCAGCAGCCGCGGUAAUACGUAGGUGGCAAGCGUUGUCCGGAAUUAUUUGGCGUAAAGCGCGCGCAGGUGGGAUCUUAAGUCCAUUUUUAAAGUUCGGAGCUCAACUCCGUGAUGGGAUGGAAACUGGGAUUCUUGAGUACCGGAGAGGAAAGCGGAAUUCCCCGUGUAGCGGUGAAAUGCGUAGAUAUGGGGAGGAACACCAGUGGCGAAGGCGGCUUUCUGGACGGUGUCUGACACUGAGGCGCGAAAGCCAGGGGAGCGAACGGGAUUAGAAACCCGUGUAGUCC